rnacentral:rRNA from 1 species
UACGUAGGCAGCGAGCGUUGUUCGGAUUUACUGGGCGUAAAGGAUGUGUAGGCGGUUUUUUCAGUUUGGUGUGAAAUCUCCCGGCUCAACUGGGAGGGUGCGCCGAAUACUGAGCGACUAGAGUGCGGGAGAGGAAAGUGGAAUUCCUGGUGUAGCGGUGAAAUGCGUAGAUAUCAGGAGGAACACCGGUGGUGUAGACGGCUUUCUGGACCGUAACUGACGCUGAGGAGCGAAAGCGUGGGGAGCAAACAGG